CUACGGGAGGCAGCAGUGAGGAAUUUUGCGCAAUGGGGGUAACCCUGACGCAGCAACGCCGCGUGAGUGAUGAAGGCUUUCGGGUCGUAAAGCUCUGUCAAGUGGGAAGAAUAUACGAAAUGCUAAUACCAUUUUGUACUGACGGUACCACUGAAGGAAGCACCGGCUAACUCCGUGCCAGCAGCCGCGGUAAUACGGGGGGUGCAAGCGUUAUUCGGAAUUAUUGGGCGUAAAGAGCACGUAGGCGGCCGCUUAAGUCAGAUGUGAAAGCCCGGGGCUCAACCCCGGAAGUGCAUUUGAAACUAGGUGGCUUGAGUAUGGGAGAGGGAAGUGGAAUUCCUGGUGUAGAGGUGAAAUUCGUAGAUAUCAGGAGGAACACCGGUGGCGAAGGCGACUUCCUGGACCAAUACUGACGCUGAGGUGCGAAGGCGUGGGGAGCAAACAGGAUUAGAUACCCUGGUAGUC
rnacentral:rRNA from 1 species